GAAAGGAUUGGCUAAAAGCUGCUGAGCGUGAAGGGCACUUAAAUGGAUGGAAGCAGUGCACACUAAAUGCUGUAUAGCUCAGUGAAUACUGGCUCAAGACUGUAAGAGGCCUGUCUUAAGAAAGAUGGAGGUGGCCCCCAUCUUCCUUCCACAUGCUGCUCUGCCAAGGUUUUCUCAUUCUGAUCAACAUCUCCAAGCUUGGGGUCAGUCUGCCAAUAUCUUCUGUCUCAUGAGUGAUGGCACUGCAGAGUGGAAUGGAUCACAAUCAAAAAGCUGGUCUGUACAAGUGUUUUAAGGUAAUUUGGCCAGCAAAAGCUGCUGCUCAAGAACAUUUGAGAAACCCCAUCUCAGAUUGAUGUGCUUUGCCAGACGGGCUCAGCAAAUGACUUUCCCUGGUGCUAUUUUAAAAGUCUUUAGUAGAGUUGUGCAAUUCACGCUAAUUCUGAAGUCUCUUGGAACAUGCCAAAGAUGAAGCGUGCAUUUUCCAGACUGCAACAUUUUCCAGCUCUGUUCAUCCCUUUUAGGAGGACCUCUUGACUGUCAUUAUAUGCUGCACUGAAAGAACUAGUAAGUGGCUGCUCUCAAGUUGAUUGCAUUGCCACUGAUGCCAGAAAGCAUGCAAGAAAUAGCUCCACUGCCUGGAUGUGAUUUAAAGAUUGAGGAACAAGUAUCACUUCCAUCAAAGCUGGAAGAAACUUUGCUCCAGAAGUAAAUGGAAGGAGAAAUCAGUUCUCUUGUAUUUGAAGUGUGAUUUGGUUGAUUAGGCAACAUUAUAUGCUGUUAAUCAGUUAAGUAAAAGAUUCUUCUUGUGCCAAGUGUUUGAUUUUUUUUUUUUAUUUAGUAUGUUUGUAAGCACAGAAUACUAAAGCCAUAAAGUUUGAGAAACUUUA